ensembl:lncRNA
CCUUUAUGUUUACAUUUGUACAUGAAUGUGGCUGGGUGGAGAAAAUGCAGGCCUUGUGUCUACCUUUUGUUUUUAACCACAUUUGGUUCUACAGUUGCAGAUUUAUGAGAGGCCUUCUUCCUUGGGAGCUUAGUACAGAGGGAACCCCAAAGGGUUGGGUUUGGAAAUGCAAACUGGAGUUUUUGUCAGAAGUCCUGGAAGCAUUGUCUGUGAUCUCAGGAGCAAUGUUGCCUUUUUUUCCUUUUUUUUUUUUCUUCAUAUUUUGAGAACCAGACGGGGUAGUGUUACUGAGAGGUAAUUGAAGUUGGUAGGGAGUAAGAGGUUUUGAAGAAGGCAAGUUUGAUGUUACCAUCAGAUAAUUCAGGGGAAAUGUCUCUUCGCUGUGCUCAAUUCUCAACACAGCAUCCUUCCCAUAAUUCUGAUUUCUAGAGCAAAAAUGCAACUUCUGUAUGCUGGCUCUGUUUAUCAGUAUCCUUCCCAGUUGGAAAGUAGUAAGCCUGGCCUUGGUUCUAGUCAUUUAAGUAAGGGUGGCCUGCUGAUAGCUUAACCCUUCUCAGAAGUGAUCUCUCCUGCUCUGUCUAUGCCUGCAGGUUAGGACUAGGAAUCCCAGCACUCCUGUGAUUUAUAAAUGGGGAACAGAGGAGCCAAAUCCUUCCAUAGCUGGUAAAAAAGUCUAUUGGAGGAACAUCGAUUUAGAAGUAUUCUUCAUAUACUUAAAAAGUCACAUUCCUAACACUAAUCUCUCUUGACUGUAGUCAGCAAAAGGUAAUUUCAAGGCUUCUAGAUCCAGAAUGCUUUCGGAUGUUAGACAUACUCUUGUUUAAACUCUCUGAGUAGUACAUUUGUCUUAUUGUAGACUGCUGUUAUCCCACACUAAGAAUAAUUACAGGAUAGUCAUUUGUCAGUUCUUGAAGUCAAGAGAGCUCUUUUAGAAUAGCCUAUUUGCUUUUUAAAAACAAUAUCGGUCUCAUUUAGGCAAUUUCAAACCCAACAGAGCAUGUCAGUUUUAAUGACAGCUUUAGUGGGCAGUUUAGACAGUUGGUAUCUGUUAAGUUUAUCCUGAGCUGGGCAUGGUAGCACACCCCUGUGACCACGACACUUGGGACAUGGAGGCAGAAGGAUGGUGAGUUCAAGGCCAGCCUAGCCUGCAUAGUGAGACUCUGUCUCAAAAAAAAAAGUCUGUGCAACCCCAAGGUCCUGAGUUCAAUCCCCGGUACCAAAAAAAAAAAAAAAAAGCAAGUCUAGUCUGAAUUGCCCUUGUACCAAUAUGGUGCAGAAUUGUCAGGUAGCAUCAAAGGUUAGAAUGCUUCAGGUAACCAGUGAGAACAGAAGAGGCUGAGUUGGUUUGUGUUUGUUUCCUCUGUCUUGAGUUCCCCUCAUGGUUCCCUUGUUACCUCACACCAAGUGAACAACACUUAAAGAACUCACAAGUAACUCCUUCGUGUCAAGUUCAGUACACAUAGCUGAAAUCUGUAAGCCGUUAUCUCAACUACCAAUAAGUUGUUUUUAAAAAAUACAUUAGACUCCAAACUAACCAAAGGACUUCUUAUUUAGUGCGCUCUGUGCCUUGGCACAUGGAAGCUGUGAGCCGAACCUGGCAGGAAGAGGAGCGCUGCGGUUUCAGCACACUCUGCGUCUGCUGCCUUGUCUGGAGAACACAAGAUCAUAAUAGCAAUGCAGUGUCACAAAUGUUUCAUUAAAAAUUUUCCAUUCAGAGAAGCCAUGGUUUGUUAGAGCAACGAAGUAUUUCUAAUAUGGAACAAGGAAAGGAAAAGUGGGGAAGCAGAGAGAGUUUGGACUAAAGUGGGUGUGUUUGAGUUGUGAGAAUUCUACCCAGAAGUCUCCUUGUCCACAGAGAAACAAGUAUUACCUAAGAUGUGAAAGUGGUAGCCAUACCUUGAAGCACAGCAUUGUACAUAAGUAAAUAUCUUGAUUCUAAAUUAAAUUCAGAUUUAACUAAUAUAUAUUAUUUUAUAUUUUUGUUGUAUUAAAAUGUUUAAAAACACUAAAAAUAAAACAUUUGAAAGUUGGA